AUCAAACUUGGGACCUUGUGCUUGUGAGGCAGGCAGUGCAAACACUGAACUAAAUUCCAGGCCCCAGGUUAGAUGUUUUAUUUGAGUAGUUGCUAGGAGAAAGGAGUAACAAAGAUAACAGAGAUCAACAGUUAGGACAGGUUUAUUCAGAACAAAGCUAGAGGGACCACCCUGGUCCUUAGACCAGACUUGUGACUCUCCAGGCUAUGAGGUCCAUUGUAGGGUUGUGAGCAUAAAGUGGGGUGGGGGGUGGGGUGAGGGGAAAAGUUCAGUGAAAAGGAGCUGUGGCUAUCUGGUAACCCAUGAUUAUGCAUCUUUAGCAGACAUGAAAGCAGAAGAGGAUGGGAGAAGCUUAAACUGAUCAACCUAGGAUGGUGGUGGUUGGAUUCCUUCCAUCGUCCUUAAACAUCAUCAUCUUAGUCUUUUCUACCUUAUUCUUUAUUAACAUUCUAAUUUUGUUUAUUCAAGUGCUUACUACCUGAUUACUCUCAGGUCCUAUUGAAUCCAGAAGGAGAAACCUAUACCUGUUUUGACUGAUCUCCAAUGCCUACCACAGUUUUUAGCCCAUGGUGGUGGAACCUGCUGCUGCAUGCUGCCCAACAGAAAGGCAGCUCAGAGAAACAAUGCAGUGCAUCCUCAUCUGCCUCAUCCACGGGGUCUGCACAGUGCCGCUCUGGAUCUUCCCUACAGUCAAAAGAACAAUGAAAGUAAACAUUUUGAAUCAAUUCAGGAUGUUGAGACAGCCACCACAGCACAACUACAGACACUCCAGGAAGAAGACUUCCAGAACUGCUUCAGAAAAUGCAAAGAUAAGUGUGUUUGAAGCAAGAGGGAAUGUUUUGAGGGGUGGAUGGCAAUGUGUCUUUUUUGAAUUGCUACCUGAUUUUUCAUUAGUGUAAGCUCGCACUACACAGUGAUUACAUUCAUUGUCCGGUGUUGGCAUACGUAUGUCGCACAUCUUGAUUCUUUUUACUUCCCUCUUCCCUGAUCUCCUUUGGCAAUGUGUCUUUUUAUUGCAAUCAGCUUCUAUAAAAUUUAAACACUCAAUGAAUUUCUCUAUUACUCUUUCAAUGGGAGGAUGUGUGUAGGUUCCAUACGUAUACUAGACCAUCAUUUAUGGGGAACUAGAGCAUUUACAAACUUUGCUAUCUGUCAUAUGAUACAGCACUCAGAGUGCCAGUGGUGUGCGCAGUAAAAGAAUUUACCAAAAUCAUAGCAAGGAAGAAGAGUUUUCAAGUCAACCAUAAGAGUGUGGCAGGAGAUUUCCCAGAGAGGGUUGAGCCACAUGGGAAGAGUAAGGAGCCUUUGAAGGCUGCUUGAGCUUGAGAAAGUCAUAGAUAAGUCUUCUAGGCUCAGGAAGGGAAGUUAGCGGUUGUGUUUGAAGCCUGGACUUUAAAAUGUAAGAGAUGGACCAUCUGGCAAUGAAACUGGGCUCCACAUUUCCUCCCUUACAGACCAGAAUGGAUUGGUAGUGGAAUGGUGGGAUAGGGGCAGAGCUUGCUUGCUUGCUUUCUCUCUCCUUCCUGCCUUCCUGCCUUCCUUCCUUCCUUCCUUCCUUCCUGCCUGCCUUCCUGCCUUCCUGCCUUCCUGCCUUCCUGCCUGCCUGCCUUCCUUCCUGCCUUCCUUCCUGCCUGC
rnacentral:lncRNA from 1 species